CUCCGACACCAGAUGCACCUCGUAGAUAUGAUAGAGUUCCGAUCCUUCCUCCGGCCAGUAGCGAUGGCACAUAGAACGGCCUUCCUCGGACAAUUAUUGGAGGCGAAGUGCGUAAACACGAAGCGACGGAAUGUCGCUUGUGUAUGAAAUCGACGAUACACAUCGUCGAUCCACGCACAAACAAGCAAGCACGCAACAACCAAAAUCGCAUCAAAAUGAAUAUGUAUGUAAGAACAGCGAGAUACACGUGGACGAGGCGGCAGGAAGAGCCGCAAGAGGGAUCGCAUAAUGAAUAAGUCGAGGUUCGAGGGUGAAAACAAGAUAGAUAAGGAUUACGCGACAUAACUGAUAAAAGAGCGAGAUGGAGACGGUGAGAAGGAGAGAGAAAGACAUUUAUACGCGCGCGCGAUAGAGAGAUCUCGAAGUUUGCGAAGGCGUAGCUGCGUGGGAUGAACGGCUCGAUAACUCUCGAGCUGCUGUCGUGGGUGAAAAUCGAACAUCUCCCUUCUCUUCUGCAUAUUUAUGCACGUUGUCGAUGAGUUCAAGAUCACAUCAAGUGAUUAGAUGCAUUUAAAUGAUUCACGGAAGAUCCGAUCCGCGGAUCACAGAGAGACGCGAAAUGUUCUCUUCGUGGUUGUCUCGCUAAUGAAAAAAAAGCGAUAGCCAUAAUUGCGAGAUUUGUGACGAGGUUCUAUAGCCCAGCUGUGGCUUAUCAGCCGUGAGUAAACUUGCACAGCGCAGCGCUCGCACAGCGAGGAGAACCGUGAUAACGGAUAACGCGAAAUCGAUGUGACACGAUCCUUUAAUCCCGAUUCUCGUAAAACUACGCCGGAAACAAUAAGAUCGUGAAAAGCUCCUCGAUGACGUCAAGACCAGGUGAUGGAUAUUGCCGUGUCGGGAAUAGUUUUGCUGGAUACUGGUUUAAGGAGAGUUUGAGUCGCGCUAAUAUCAUAGCGUCAAAACUUUCUCCAUUCUUAUCUAACACCCCGCCGGCGUACUCUAAAUUGACCGACGGAAGUUUUAACGCAAUUAAUUAGCUCUUAGGUCCCAUACAAGUAAUUGACAACUCUCUCGAGUUGUUUGUACAUAGGCGCGUAACAUUGCAAGAGCGCGAAUUGUGUUUUCCUCUUAAUUACGUAGCGUCGUUCAAUUUUUCUUUCAUAAUGUCACACGAUAUCAUUGCGAUCUCGUUGUUCGUAAACGUGAAUAUAAUUUUCUUUGCGUGUAACAACAGUCAGAGACAUAAUAGUAAGGUGUUUUUUGCUUGCUAUACGUCUUCCUUCUCUUUGCGUUGUUAAUCAAUAAGUGCACUUUCACGAAUGUGACCAAACAGCAUGGCACUUAUAGAAAUAUACAACGCAGUUGGCCUAAUGGGGCGUCAACCAUUAACGAACGCGAUCGAUGUUAACACUUUGAUAUGAGCACUCGCAUAUUGCGAACAGAAAUAUUGAUUGAAAACGAAGAUAAGAUUUUCUGAUUAUACAUUUCUAGAGAAUUAUUUAUUAAAAUUUAUGAGAGAGAGAGAAAGAGAGAGACUCUUAAGCUUUUUAUUUUACAAAGAUAUUUGAAAAAAAAAAUCUAAAAAUCAUUUUUUUACUUUGCGACCUAACUUGAAGUUUAUUUACGAACAUAAAUGUGUGCGGAUGAGCGAUUUCCAUGAAAUGUUAAUGCGAUAUUGAGUGAGUCCGCGUGAUAAUUCUCUCAGAAUGUCGUUACAUCUGUUGUAGAAUCUAUCUCUCAUCUCCCUUUGUUUCUUAUCUUCGCGUGCACUGCUCACGCACAAAGAGUUACUGCUUGAUCGGGCGUUUUAUAACAGAUGGUUCGUAAUGAAACAUAUCGAGUGGAACGCUCUUCAUCGUAAAAAACUUCAUAUUUCCUAUCUCUUUAUAAGCCUCUCGCUUAUCGGCUCUGAAAAAAGAGAGUUAACUUAAAGUUCAUCCGAGUAUUAAUUUCAAAGAGAGAGGAGCAGAGCUACGUCUAGUCUCCAGAAGUUUCACGUAGAACGUCAUAACCCGAGAGACCUUAUUUCAUUCGAGAAAACACGUUUGUAAUUCCGACGAACAGAGACGACGCUGUUUCGCAAUUUUUCUGAGAGAAGAAAAAAAAAAGAAAACGGAGCUCCCGCAUUGUGAAGUGAGAAAAUACCGAUUUGAACGUCUUCUUAUAUCGCAGAUAUCGCGUGACAAAAUAUAUAUUGUCAGUUUUAGAAUAAAUUGCGCGCUCGAGAAUUGAGACGCAAACGCGUCGUUGUCCGCGCGCUCACACGGAAUAACAUUUAAUCACACUCACCG